AGCAUAAUCACUUGUCUCUUAAUUGGGGGCUGGAAUGAAAGAGGCGACGAAAUUCAAACUAUUAGUUUGUAAUAUAAAAUUAACAUAAAGGUUAAAAGGCCUUUAUAAAUCAAAGGGACGACAAGACCCUAUAAAACUUUACUGCAAUGUGUGUUAUUUAGGCAAAACUUUGAGUUGCAGUUUAACUGGGGCGGUUUAUAUAAAAACAAUAGUAGCAUAAAUAUUUUACAUAGAAUUUGAGAGCUCUAGUAGGAAAUGAAUAAGUUACUUUAGGGAUAACAGCAUAAUUCUCCCAGAGAGUCCUAAUUGGCGGGAGAGCUUAUGACCUCGAUGUUGAAUUGGGGCGUCUGGUAUAAGUAGAGAUAUAUUAAGAUAGUCUGUUCGACUAAUAAACCCCC
rnacentral:rRNA from 1 species